UCCUUCAGGGAACCUCUCCCUUAAAAAUUUCUGCUCCAAGGAGACAUCAGUGGAGCUUCUCUUCCCUACUGAACAGUAUGUUUUGUCACUCUGGGAUCUCAGUUGGGGCCCCUCUUAGGAUCCAGUGCCCUAAAAAUUUCUGGUAUGGUGUUCAGACAGGGCUUGUCCCAACAAGGGAGGGAGACACAGAAUUGUGGGCUUAGCUUGGAAUGGAAAUAAUAAUACCCAGCACUGAUUGUGUUCUAAUUAUGCAGUAAGUAGUGUCCCAGGCAUUUUACAUUGGUAUCGUCCCGUAUAAUUCUUACUACUAUCUUCAAAGUAGCUACAUUAUCGCGAGGCCCUGUUCGACAUGAAGAAAUGGAGGUUAGAGAGCUGCCCAGGUCCCCCAGGUGGUCCAGUUGAAAGGACCAGGCUGAUCUGAUUGCUGAGCACCCGAGUUCUGGACAGGUACAGAUCGGUGUUCACCAAGGGUCUUCCCAGUGCAUGCCCGGCCGGGGCCCCACUAUGGCAACGCAGAAGCCGACCUUGGCCAAGCUCUGGAAGAGGCAGCCCUCCCACAGAACCUUCGGAACACACACAGCAGGCAUGGUGUGUCGCCAUUGGUCCUGUAGGGCAGAGAGAGGAAAAGUCGACCUUCAGGUCCUGGAAGCCCUGGUGGGACCCAGUGGCCAGCCUUGGGAGAGCACUCAGGCUGCACCGCCCCCCAGGCUUGCUCCGAUGGUCAGUGGGCAGCAGAGGGAGGAGGAAGCGGAGGAGGGAGAGCUGUGGGAGGAGGAAAAAGGGUUACUGUCCUCGUGACUGUUUUGGGGUCUGACAAAGAGGCUUGUGGCUUGGCAGCGUCCUGAGGGCUGGAAUUUCUGGGGUCCAAGGUAUCAUCACAACAAGGUAACUACUUCUACUACUGUUAUCAUUGCAAAUAGUAGCUAAUGCUUCUUGAGCACUUAAAAAGUGCCGGGUGCUCUGUAACUGCUUUAUAUCCAUCUCUCCAUUCAAUCCUUUUUUUUUUCCCCAUGCCACGUGGUAUGUGAAGUUUUCGUUCCCCAACCAGGGGUCAAAUUCAUGCCCUCUGCAGUGGAAGCAUGGCAUCUUAACCCCUGGACCACCAGAAAAGUCCCCAUUUUAAUCCUUUCAGUGUAGAGUUAUAUGUACCCCAUGUACAUGUGAGAGGCUCACAUAUGUGCAGUUAGGCCCCUGACUACAAUAUUCCACCCACCUCUGCUUAAUUUUGAUUCUCUAGUUGUUCAUCUGGGGGCCUGCUAGGUGCCAGACUCUGUUGGACCCUGAAGUAUACAAACUGGUGUGAUACAUUCUCUGCACUGUCUCAGCAGGAUAGUAAUCAAUUGCCUGCUUAUUCAAACCAAUGUUCAUUGUUCUAUGUCAUAUUUUAAGGUGCUCCAAAUAGGUAAAUGUGUAAAUAAAAUUUCAUUUGUUUUGCUGUUCAGCAGAACUUGGUAAGUUAGGUUCACUAAAAUUUAGACUAAAUUAACAAAAAGGAAAAAGAACUUUGAAAGUUAUCUUUGGUUCCACGAUCACGUUGAACCUGUUGACAUCGGAGCACAGGACUUUUUAAAGAAUACAUUCACAUGUGACCACCACAGAAGUAGGUACUCAAAGAAAAAUUAAAUUGUUAUAAAAUAACACUAUAUUGUUUUGUAAACUGUACCCUCCUUCACACACUUGAUAAUCUAAUGAGAUCAUGUUCAAGUAGCACAGCUACUUCUAAUGUUUUUUUCAUCAUUAGAGGGUGAGGUGGUAUGUGUAUCAAUUUUUUUCCAUAUAGUUUGCAUUUCUUUUGUGAAUGUCUUAUUUGUAUCUUUGGCCUGUUUUUUCUUUGGUUUGUUAUUCUUUAUGGCCACUUAUUUUUCAAGGAAUUAAAAACGUUUUUCCGAGUUUAUGCACAAAAUUUUAAAAGUCAAAGAUAAUUGAAAGUUUUACAAUGAAAUAUAGCAUCCCUCGUCCUUUCAUUCUUCCCCUGAGUUUCCCAGAAAUAGCCCUUUCAACUCUUCCAGCUGUUUCUUUCGGU
rnacentral:lncRNA from 1 species